rnacentral:ncRNA from 1 species
AAGUACUCCCGAAUCUCGCCACGGACGGCGGCGAUAGGGAUAACGGCUGGUUGGCACAGCCAGCGGUCCGACUGUUCGACCGGAGUGGGGGACGUUUCGCCCCGCGAGAACAGGUCACGGGCCGCGAAUCCUAAUAUCCCAACUCGGAGGGAAUCCCACGACCUCAGUCGUGGGA